AAGAGAGAGAGAGAGAAAGAGAGGCAGAGUGUGAUUGAGAGAAACCCAGACAGACAGGAAGAAACUGAGAGACAAAAAAGCAGGAGGGUUGGGAGAACACGGGGACACGGAAUAGAUACUCGGUCAUGGGGAGGUGGGAGGCAGAAAGCAUGGAGUGGUCGGUGAGCCAAAAAAAAGUGAGAAACUGGUGGGAGGAAUUGGUGGAAAAAGGAUGUAGAGGAAGAAACACAGAGACAGAGUCAAAUACACACAGCAACAAAACAACAAACAGAAGGGACAGAAUGUGAGAUUGCAGCAACAAAUAAACAUAGAGGCAUGAGAGGAGGUGACAGAGCUGCGUCCAUGCUUGUUGUGUGAGAUUCUGGAGUGUAGGAGCUGUUUGUGUUGUGUAAACUGAUGAAGCUGUGCGCGUUGGGUUGGUAACGCUACUCUCAAAAAGAGCAAGAGAAACAGUGAGGAUUUUUGUUUUUUACUGCCAACAAGCUGGAUCACCAACUGGAUAAGUAUUUGCUUUUUGGAUGUGAAACACAAAAUAAAACUGUGUUACUGACCACCCUAAUUCAUACUUAUGAAAUUCUUAUAAAGUUAUGUGGAAUUCAGUCUGCAGUAAUUGCUAAUGUUAUGAUUUGGUCAUUUGGGGCAAGUCAAAGCGAGUCGAGCCAAGUUAGUACACAAGUGAUCAAAAAUGGCUGCAAGACAUUUCGAUGUUUGAACAUCAUUCUGCAAUGACACAGAAACAACAUUUUAAUAUUUGAGCCUUUCCAGGGCUUCUAUACGUCAUUUCUUUUCAUGUUUUUGUCUGAAUCAGGCCCGAGUUUCAUGCCUUAUGUCUUUAGCUCUGGUUACUAUAGUAUUACUGCUACUAUAUAUUGUCAUUAAAUGCAGGAAGUUUGGACCCAAAUGCAUACUGCAGAGGCGAACUAGAGGUUAACAAAAAACUAGCCUUUAUUCAAACUAUUUUAGUCAUAUAGUCAGGGCUGGAUCAGCUAACCCUGAGUCACAGACCCAGGAACAUGCAAUAUACAAUGAUUUAAUACAGAAGAAGUCUGAAAACAACAAGUUUUCUUCAGUUCUUUUUAGACUUCCCUCACUUUCUGUGGAAUUAUCCACUAAACUAAACUAAAGUUCCAAGUUAAGAAUGAAAAUCAGUCCUAAAUAUACAUUAUAUAUAUUAGGUACAUGCUUGUACCGAACUAGAUCUCUUUUUGCGUUCAUAACUGCCUUAACUCUUUGCACAGAUUCAACAAGGAGCUGGUACAUCACUCUGAGAUUUUGGUCCAUGCUGACAUCACAGCAUCAUCCAGUCGCUGCAGAUUUGUCAUCUGCACAUCCAUUAUUCAAAGCUCUGAAAGGCGCUGGAGUAAAAUCUGGUGAUUGUGGAUUGUCGUGUUCAAGAAAUUAGUUUGAGCUGACAGGUGUGGUGUUCUUCUGCUGCUGUAGCAGCAGGACAUUUUCACCCAGAGAACUGCUGCUUACUGGAUAUUUUCUCCUUUUUGGACCUUUGUCUGUGAACCCUAGUGAUGUGGGGAAAUCCCAGUAGAUCAGCAGCUUCUGAAAUUCUCAGACCAGCCCGCCCGGCACCAACAGCCAUGCCACGUUCAAUGUCUAAGUCAUUUUUCUUCUUCUUCAUUUUGAUGUUCAGUUUGAACUGCAGCAGACCGGCUUGAUCAAACCGUGUAACUGGCUAUUUGCGUUAAUGAGCAGCUAAACAAGUGGUCCUAAUAAAGCAUCCAGGGAAUA